GGAGUACUCCCUCCGUCCGAAAAUACUUGUCAUCAAAAUGGAUAAAAAGAGAUGUAUCUAGAACUAAAAUACAUCUAGAUACAUCCCCUUUUAUCCAUUUUGAUGACAAGUAUUUUCGGAUGGAGGGAGUACUAG
rnacentral:pre_miRNA from 1 species